AUCUGUGGCCAUACCCCCCUGAACAUAUCUGUUGUCAUCUGAUCUCAGAUGCUAAGCAGAAAAGGGCCUGAGUAGGGCUUGGGUUGGGGAGACCAAGGGCGAGAUCAAGAAAGCUAGCCUCUGGGU
ensembl:rRNA 5S_rRNA 5S ribosomal RNA